CUAAAGGAUUGUUGUGUAAUCUCCAAAUUUCAUCGUAACACAAACAAGGCAAUUAUCGUGACUCGCAUCAAAGCGGAUUCUGACGAGAGUCCAUUAAUCUUUUGGCUAUAACGUUAUUCUCAUAUUAUAUACAACGACAUCUGGUUUUCCCUAUAUAUUGCCAGAGUUAAAUUGGUACAGUAUCAAAUGGCAGCCAUGGCUGCAUCUACAAUGAUUAUGCAUUCAUUCAAGUGGUAUGCAUUUCUUAGCUUUUUCUUUGCCUCCUCGUGUAUCAGCGUUACUCAUCGCGAGUGGAAAUCAGAAGGUAGGGAAUCGAUAUUAAUUUUGUUUUUGUUAAUUGAUAUGGAAUAGUUUCAAUUGUUUGAAUUUGACAUUAUCAUUGUUAUCAAAGCCAAGCCAAGAUCACCACUAUCGCCAACAAAAAUUUAUUUUUAGGUGCAUGCUUUUACCAUAGUAUUGAAGUUGCUAUACAUGCAGCAUGCAGUAUAUAGGAAAGUAUCUUAUCACCAACUCCGACUUGACCUCGUAGCUCGGCAUUGGACUAUAGUUAGUACCACAACGGUCGUG